rnacentral:rRNA from 1 species
UACGUAGGGUGCGAGCGUUAAUCGGAAUUACUGGGCGUAAAGCGUGCGCAGGCGGUCCGUUGUGUCCGAUGUGAAAGCCCCGGGCUUAACCUGGGAAUGGCAUGGGAAACUGGCGGGCUGGAGUGUGGCAGAGGGGGGUGGAAUUCCGCGUGUAGCAGUGAAAUGCGUAGAGAUGCGGAGGAACACCGAUGGCGAAAGCAGCUCUCUGGGACGGUACUGACGCUGAGACGCGAAAGCGUGGGGAGCGAACAGG